rnacentral:tRNA from 1 species
CCCUAGUUAGCUCAGUUGGUAAAGCGCUCCACUGGAAAUGGAGAGGUCCCGGGCUCGAUCCCCGGACCAGGCG